rnacentral:lncRNA from 1 species
CAGGCGCAGAGGCCGAAGCAGGCGCAGGCGCAGGCGCGGCGCAGGCGCGGGCGCGCUCUCCCGGCAGCCCGCGCUCCCUGACCCCGCGCCGCAGAGCGCCCUGAGGACUCAGCGGAGGGUGGGCGCCGCCGAGGCCUCGUGCCGCCGGCGGGUUUCCGCGGAGUGCCGCCCGGCUCCGCGCUGCCGCCGCCGCGGCCCAUGGGCAGAGUCGGCCGGGCGGGCCAGAGCGUUUCUCCUUCGCCUCGUGGACCACAUCCUGACGAAGUUGUCCGGUCACUAGACCCCAGUAGCCCGGAGCGUGUCCCGCCUGACCCCGCACACUUGCCCCUCUCCGGGGCUCGGAGAAAGAAGCCGGUUCCUCCCCGGGUCUCAGAACUGGGAGUGCAGGCGUCGUUUCCCAGACUCCAGAGCUCCCUAGGACAGGAAUGCAGCCCUGACCCCGGCGUCGCCUCCGCUCGUGCUGUUUGAGCGGUGUUUCCGCGCUCACGUCCGACCCCAAGCAGUCUUUGAGCUUCACCUUUUGCCCAGAGGAUGUGUAAUGAUCGGAGAAUGCGGGUGGAAUGAGGUUCUGCCCCUGCUUGCGGGAGUUUGGUUUCUAGGACAGCAGGCGUGAAAACCCAGGCCCGGGUUGAUCUGAGAGACGCAAGUAGGGUCUGAAAGGACCUCUCUUGGGAGAGGAGGUGAUGCUUAUGUUGAGUCUCGAAGGUACUUUGUUAGAUGUGAGAGGUGGGAAAAAAGGCUCCCGGCGGUAAGUGCGAAAGUAGCAGAAGUGAAGCCCGGUAGUGCGUCCUGGAAACUGCAGGUAAGGCAGAGAGAAAGGUUUGAGGAGCGGGUGAUGCUGUGUUUCGAGGAGUAGUCACGUCAGAACAUGGAGGUUUCUUGAGAAGCAGUGAAGGAGCGCCAUUGAGGGUCCUUAUUUUGCUAGAGCCAGGCAUAUGGAUGGGAAAUAGGAUAUUCUAGAUAAGGGCAAGAUUCGCAUAUACUCAAGAUGAGCACUGGCUCCCCGCAGCAGAUGGAGUUUUUAAAAGGAUGGAACUCAGUUUCCACAUUUUUAGUUGAUAAAGGCUGCGGAUAUUUUGAUCGUAAUGACGGCUUUUAGGGAAUAUGGGGUAACAGUUCAGUGAGCUAAACGAGAGGGCUUUUAGUUAGUUAAGCAAGGUGCUGCAUGCAGUCCAGUUUCUAACAGCAGGUUGUGCGAUUGUGGAACUCUGCGGAACCAAAGACAGCGUUUCUGGAGGCUCUUGAGAGGAUUGUUGUACAUUCCCAAAUGCAACUUUAUUUAAAGUGGAUUUCUUUUUACCUGGUUUGCUUUAAAUUACCUUCCCAUUCUCCCCUGCAUAUGAAUUUUUCAGACCUCCCCCCAGCAGGGAACAGAUGAUCCCAGGCUAGUCAUCUCUCAAACCUUUCGUAAUAGUCAAU